rnacentral:rRNA from 1 species
GAUGAACGCUAGCGAUAGGCCUAACACAUGCAAGUCGAGGGGCAUCACAUGAGGCAGCAAUGCCGAUGGUGGCGACCGGCGCACGGGUGAGUAACACGUAUGCAACCUGCCUUCAACAAGGGGAUAACCCGUUGAAAGACGGACUAAUACCCUAUAACACAGGGGUCCCGCAUGGGAAUAUUUGUUAAAGGACAACCGGUUGAAGAUGGGCAUGCGUUCCAUUAGCUAGUUGGCGGGGUAACGGCCCACCAAGGCAACGAUGGAUAGGGGAACUGAGAGGUUUAUCCCCCACACUGGUACUGAGACACGGACCAGACUCCUACGGGAGGCAGCAGUGAGGAAUAUUGGUCAAUGGACGCAAGUCUGAACCAGCCACGUCGCGUGAAGGAAGACGGCCCUACGGGUUGUAAACUUCUUUUAUACGGGAAUAAAGUGCCCCACGCGUGGGGUUUUGCAUGUACCGUAUGAAUAAGGAUCGGCUAACUCCGUGCCAGCAGC